rnacentral:rRNA from 1 species
UACGGGGGGAGCAAGCGUUGUUCGGAAUUACUGGGCGUAAAGGGCGCGUAGGCGGCCUGUUAAGUCGAACGUGAAAUCCCCGGGCUCAACCCGGGAACUGCGUCCGAUACUGGCAGGCUUGAAUCCGGGAGAGGGAUGCGGAAUUCCAGGUGUAGCGGUGAAAUGCGUAGAUAUCUGGAGGAACACCGGUGGCGAAGGCGGCAUCCUGGACCAACACUGACGCUGAGUGAGCGAAAGCCAGGGGAGCAAACGGG